rnacentral:rRNA from 1 species
GACGAACGCUGGCGGCAUGCCUAACACAUGCAAGUCGAACGGGACCUUCCGGUCUAGUGGCGCACGGGUACGUACCACCUGGGAAGCUGCCCGUAGGUUCGGUAUCACUCCCCGAAAGAGAUGCUAAUACCGGUUAGUGUCUUAGGACCAAAGAUUUCUCGCCGUGGGAUGGGCCCGCGUUGGUUUCGCUGGUUGGUAGGGUAAAAGCAUACUAAGGCGACGUUCCUUAGCUGGUCUGGGAGGAGGAUCAGCCACACUGGGGAUGAGACACGGACCAGACUCGGACGCGAGGGAGGAGAGUGGAGUAUAGUAGACGGGGGGAAAGCCUGAUCCAGCAGUGCCGCGUGAGUGAGGAAUGCCUUAGGGUUGUAAAGCUCUUUUACCCGGGAUGAUAAUGACAGUACCGGGAGAAUAAGCUCCGGCUAACUCCGUG